UCAAAAAUAUUUGAUAAAUUAAAAUUAAAAAGCUGUAAAUCAAUUUGAAUGGGCAGUGAAAACAAAUCUACAGAUCUGCAUUAAAAAUACACAAAAGCUCACAAUGGAUGACAACAAUAUUAAACGUUUUCGUUUUUCUGCAAAAAGGAUUUCUUUUGAAACGUGGUAAACUGAUAUUAAAAACCUAAAUGUGGACAACAAAGUACAAUGAAUCAAUAAAAUAUAAAAAAUAUGCAAUGUGAAAACGAUUAUGAAGUGCUUUCGAAACGCUUUAGUUAAAAGUAAACAUUUAUUGAACUUGAAUGCAAAUAGAAACUGUAAAUUGAUGCAUUAAUUGGUUGCGUUUAACGUUUUUUGUUUUUCUCAAUAACUUUCUACGUUUGUCAACACAAAAGUGUUUGCAAAAAAACAGGUUAAAGUAAAUCCUAUUUAAAAUUGGUUUUUUUUGUGACUGUUAAUGGGGAUUGGAGACAUCAGCACUACACUUUGGAGAGAAAUAAUAAAAUGAUAUCCUGAGUCCAUCGACAUCAGCAGCAGCGGCAGCAGCAUGUUUGUGAAGGACACAAAGUUCUGCGUGUAAAAGUCCUUCAAUUUGAAAGAAACCACCAACCAUCCAAGCAUUUAUAUCCUUAUCCGCAACUGAUACUGUAUCACCGGCAGCAGUCAAUAAAUAAACCUAACGGUCGGCGGCUGGGGAGUACUUGAAAAUGUUGGAAACCUAAUGAAAUUGAGAUAAAAUCUGAGAAAACAACCGCCAGCAAACGGAAGAGGAAAAACAGGAACAGCGAAAACAACAACAACACACACAAAAUACAAGACAGAAACAAACAAUAAUCUGCGAACAAGAACAACAGGAAAACAAAAUCAAUAAAUGCUUUUGGCGAACUUGGAGCAUAGCACCACAUCGCACAGCGCUACACACACAUACAUACGUAUAGACGGACAACCAUUGAAGAGCAACAGCAUUAAUAUUCACGCAUCCCCCGAAGAGGCGCUUGAACAAAAAGUAUGUUUCAAAUAAAACCCACAACAACAUUAAGAACAUUAGCGUCAAGUACAACAACCACAGCAUCAGUGAAAACCGCCGCAAUUUCGACUCAUACAAACUCCAAAACUAUUCGGCUCUUCUGUUCUUGGCCCAGUAGCAGUUAACAAGCGGCAACGACAACCCAGCAAAGGCAACACUUAAAAAGUCAUUAGAUUAACAAUUGUUACCGUUACAUAUCCACAUUCGCAUCCUUGCACUGUCUACCUUUACACUUGGUGUCUGACUGACUGACUAGCUGGCAGGCUCGCUGGCAGAUUGUCUGCCUUUUUGUUUGUAUGAGUUGCCUUCGUUUUCACACAGAGGACAAUUACCGCAAUUAUUCAACUUCUCUCCCUCUCUCGCGCCUCUCUUUCUCUGGUGUAUCCCCGUAAGAAGCAAAAAAGGAAUUGCGCCGAAACUGUCGGAAUGUUAAAUCAAGCCAUACGCCAAUAUAUCUAAACAUCUUCGUUUGGAGCCAACCAACUCUCCCACGAGCCUCCAUCACCACCACCCGCCCAAGCAA
rnacentral:sRNA from 1 species